AGGAUCAUGCAGAUGUAUGUGUGUAUGACCAAGAGCCUUGAACGGCAUGAUGGACGUGGGGAGCAUAUAUACAACACCUUUAUUAUUAGGAAUGGUGUUGGUUUAAUUAAGAUGUACGAACUUCGAAGAUUGUUUUUGUGGUGGCUUGUCGCUGGUUGAUGUAAACUAAUACCCAAUGUGAUGUCUAUUCUACGUGGCCCGCGGCUAAUGCACACAUGUCCUCAACUACUAAUAUAUCCAGGUUAGUUUCUGGCCUCUCUUUGCUUUGAUUCAAUGGAAGAUGAAAAAAAAUAAACUUUUGUUAUUGUAGCAGAUCUCAUUGCCUCAAGUGCCAUGAUCUUGAUGGGUCCUGGACCUAGUAGGCAAGUACUAGCAUAAUUAGCGUUCUUGUGUAAGAUUUCCCAGGUUAAUGAUAAACAUUAUAGUAGUAGUUGUUGUAACAGCAUUCUGCAUGAAUGCAUGGUCAUGUUGCAGUAUUGUGACGACUGCCUAAAUUUCUGUACCAUGCAGGUGCGACUAAAUCUGAGAUCUUUUGAACAGAUCUUGGUGUGUGCUGUGGGAAUGCGUAAAGGAGAGGUGCAGAUGAUCUCAAGAUUGGAGCUUUUUUUUUUUCUUCUGUUUUGGCGCACUGAAGAAAGACUGACUGACGUGAUAGAGAAGGGCAGGGGAGGAGAUGAUGGCAGAGAAAAACUGGUAUGUUUUCAGAUGCCUUUUUACCCUCGCAGUCGCAGGGCCGGCCUGCAUUGCUGUCAUGUUACUACUACUCUCUGUCAGGGUUAAAGAGUACACUCUCCUAUAGGAGUGAAGGGGGGAGACAAAGUGGAAGCAAGGCCCUCCUGAUUACCACGAGAAAGAGAAAGUGAGAGUUUGAUACUAGGCCCUAAAAAGGAUGAACACACACAGGUUACAAUGGUGUGAUCAGGUGAGGAUUUUCCCCUCAUACGGCGGACUACUCUCUUCGUUUCAUAUUAUAAGAUGUUUGAUUUUUUUUCUUGGUCAAAAUUUUAUAGAUUUAACCAAAUUUAUAAAAAAAAUUAGCAAUACCUACAAUACCAAAUUAGUCUCAUAAAAUUCAACAUCGAAUAUAUUUUGAUACAAAGUUUAUUUUUAUUGGAAAUGUUACUAUAAUUUUCUAAAAAAAGUUUGACAAAAAAACAAACGAUUUAUAAUAUAGAGGGAGUAUUUAAUAGUGACAUGAUGAUAAUUGCAUUGAUGGAGUCCAGCUCUAUUGCAUCAUGUUAGUUAAGUACUUUCUUUAGUCAAAAACAUUUGACGUUGGAAAAACUAACCUCAGUUUUCGCUACAUCAUAUAAGUUUGAUUAGAGAAAGUACAGUAAUAUCUUUGUUUUUGUCACUAAUUAACCGGUAUAUUCAGCUUGUUUUUGUCGCUUGCUGAAGUUAAAAACUAAACUUUCCUCUACUGGGUACGGGCAUAAUCCUGACAUUUCAAUUUGUAACUGCAUUAUUUGUAUUAAGAGGAACUAAUGAAGCAUGGAAGGUGGGGUGGGGUCCCUAACCGAACUAGUAGUAAAUUUGAGUUUGAGCAUUGUGGUACUCAAAUUAGAUAACUGCUCCUUAUUAACUACAAUCCAAAUUUAAAUUGUCAAACUUAAUUCUAAGUUGAUUUUGUGGUUUUCUCAUUGUUCUUUAUUUUCCAUCAUUAGCUUUCAAAAUGUACAAAUAUAAAGGUUUUACCUGUAUAGAAUUUUUAAUUAAUUAAUUCAUGUUUCUACAGUUCAUCAGCCACAGCUUUCUUUGUAUCCUUCAUUUAUUCAUGAUAUGGACAUAUAGACAAGAUGUCAAUUCUUUAAAACUGCGGCUCACUUUUCGCAUUGGCUUAAUCUUCUAGCUAAGCUGCUAGUUGUAGUUGGUGUAUUAAACUCAAUAAAUAUAACACUUCUGCUAAUAAUUUCCAUAUGCCUGAUCUCCGUUUUUUUACCAAUGACAUCUCUUUAAUUGUAACAUUAUUGUUGGCUUCUUGCGUGAACAGAAAACACCAAAUUAACUUAUAUUUAUCCUGGUGGUCUCUUCCAAGGGGUACCUGAAAGAAAGAUCGAUCCAGUUGGAUGAGCUAGAAAAGCACCCGGGACAGGUACGUACCCAGCUGCACUGUAUCAGUACCAAGAAGAGUCAGCCGCUUGUUGUCCCUGCACGAACCUGACCCAUCAUCACUCAUCAUCAUCGUCAGCAUUCAGCAGCAAUGCAAUGCGAGCAGCAG
rnacentral:lncRNA from 1 species